GGGGGCGUUUCGGUUUCGACGUUGAACGUGCGGCCCAAUGUGCAUGUCGAGCAGGCAGCCUCACUCGUAAAAAUGAGCUGUACAUUUGUAGUUGCAAACUUAGAAAACUACGAAGACGCAGUCGCCGCCUAAGCGGUUCUCUACGUCCCAUUGACAAUUGGUCGCUUGUUGCCAAUUGAGUCUUUUGACGGUCAAUGGUCAUUUUAGACAAGCUCGUGUUCCAGUGCGCUCAAUCACUUGAACAUUAAACACGACAUUGAGCUCGUUUAAGCCUGACCAUGCCCGUAAGGUCAGCUUCAAUUAAAUUCAAGAACGUGGCUAAGCAUGUAGAUCAGACGGUUUAUCUUUGACGGACGCGGGUUCGAGUCCCGCCGCCUCCAU
rnacentral:tmRNA from 1 species